rnacentral:rRNA from 1 species
UACGUAGGUGACCAGCGUUGUCCGGAUUUACUGGGCGUAAAGAGCGCGCAGGCGGUCGUUCAAGUCGAGUGUGAAAGCCCCCGGCUCAACUGGGGAGGGUCAUUCGAUACUGAUCGACUUUGAAGGCAGGAGAGGGAAGCGGAAUUCCCGGUGUAGUGGUGAAAUGCGUAGAUAUCGGGGAGGAACACCAGUGGCGAAGGCGGCUUCCUGGCCUGUUCUUGACGCUGAGGCGCGAAAGCUAGGGGAGCAA